rnacentral:rRNA from 1 species
AGCAGCCGCGGUAAUUCCAGCUCCAAUAGCGUAUAUUAAAGUUGUUGCAGUUAAAAAGCUCGUAGUUGAAUUUCGGGAUUAAUUUAUUGGUCGUGCUUUUGUACGUACUGGUAUUAUUGAUUCCUACCUUCUGACGAACCAUGAUGUCAUUAAUUUGGUGUCAUGGGGAAUCAGGACUGUUACUUUGAAAAAAUUAGAGUGUUUAAAGCAGGCUCACGCUUGAAUACAUUAGCAUGGAAUAACGAAAUAGGACGUUUGAUUCUAUUUUGUUGGUUUCUAGGAUCGACGUAAUGAUUAAUAGGGAUAGUUGGGGGCAUUAGUAUUCAAUUGUCAGAGGUGAAAUUCUUGGAUUUAUUGAAGACUAACUACUGCGAAAGCAUUUGCCAAGGAUGUUUUCAUUAAUCAAGAACGAAAGUUAGGGGAUCGAAGACGAUCAGAUACCGUCGUAGUCUUAACCAUAAACUAUGCCGACUAGGGAUCGGAUGAUGUUAAUUUUUUAAUGACUCAUUCGGCGCCUUACG